UCUCCUGGAAAACGGGUGGUAAUGCCGGAUGUUCCACAUGAUCGCAUGUGAUUGUGGGAAAGAUUUCAUCGGCGUGGGAUGGGGUCGCGUCCUAUCAGCUUGUUGGUGAGGUAACGGCUCACCAAGGCUUCGACGGGUAGCCGGCCUGAGAGGGCGACCGGCCACAUUGGGACUGAGAUACGGCCCAGACUCCUACGGGAGGCAGCAGUGGGGAAUAUUGCACAAUGGGCGCAAGCCUGAUGCAGCGACGCCGCGUGAGGGAUGGAGGCCUUCGGGUUGUAAACCUCUUUUGUUUGGGAGCAAGCCUUCGGGUGAGUGUACCUUUCGAAUAAGCGCCGGCUAACUACGUGCCAGCAGCCGCGGUAAUACGUAGGGCGCAAGCGUUAUCCGGAUUUAUUGGGCGUAAAGGGCUCGUAGGCGGCUCGUCGCGUCCGGUGUGAAAGUCCAUCGCUUAACGGUGGAUCUGCGCCGGGUACGGGCGGGCUGGAGUGCGGUAGGGGAGACUGGAAUUCCCGGUGUAACGGUGGAAUGUGUAGAUAUCG
rnacentral:rRNA from 1 species